UACAGAGGUCUCAAGCGUUGUUCGGAUUCAUUGGGCGUAAAGGGCGCGUAGGCGGCGGGGUAAGUCGGGUGUGAAAUCUCAGAGCUCAACUCUGAAACUGCACUCGAUACUGCUCUGCUUGAGGACUGGAGAGGAGACUGGAAUUCACGGUGUAGCAGUGAAAUGACGUAGAUAUCGUGAGGAAGACCAGUGGCGAAGGCGGGUCUCUGGACAGUUCCUGACGCUGA
rnacentral:rRNA from 1 species